UGGGGAAUUUUGGACAAUGGGCGAAAGCCUGAUCCAGCAAUGCCGCGUGUGUGAAGAAGGCCUUCGGGUUGUAAAGCACUUUUGUCCGGAAAGAAAUCCUUGGCUCUAAUACAGUCGGGGGAUGACGGUACCGGAAGAAUAAGCACCGGCUAACUACGUGCCAGCAGCCGCGGUAAUACGUAGGGUGCAAGCGUUAAUCGGAAUUACUGGGCGUAAAGCGUGCGCAGGCGGUUUGCUAAGACCGAUGUGAAAUCCCCGGGCUCAACCUGGGAACUGCAUUGGUGACUGGCAGGCUAGAGUAUGGCAGAGGGGGGUAGAAUUCCACGUGUAGCAGUGAAAUGCGUAGAGAUGUGGAGGAAUACCGAUGGCGAAGGCAGCCCCCUGGGCCAAUACUGACGCUCAUGCACGAAAAGCGUGGGGAGCAAAACAGGAUUAGAUACCCUGGUAGUCCACGCCCUAAAACGAUGUCAACUAGUUGUUGGGGAUUCAUUUCCUUAGUAACGUAGCUAACGCGUGAAGUUGACCGCCUGGGGGAGUACGGUCGCAAGAUUAAAAACUCAAAUGAAUUGACGGGGUCAUAGCUG
rnacentral:rRNA from 1 species